AGAGUUUGAUCCUGGCUCAGAACGAACGCUGGCGGCGUGCUUAACACAUGCAAGUCGCGUGCGCAGUUGCCGUAGCAAUACGGUGAUGGGCGCACGGCGCACGGGUGCGUAACACGUGGGCAAUCUGCCCUCUGAUGGGGAAUAACCCCGCGAAAGCGGGGCUAAUUCCGCAUAACAUUCCUUGAACCUCGGUUCGGGGAUUCAAAGCAGCAAUGCGUCAGAGGAGGAGCCCGCGCCCGAUUAGCUAGUUGGUGAGGUAACGGCUCACCAAGGCAAUGAUCGGUAGCUGGUCUGAGAGGAUGGCCAGCCGCACUGGAACUGAGACACGGUCCAGACUCCUACGGGAGGCAGCAGUGGGGAAUCUUGCACAAUGGGCGAAAGCCUGAUGCAGCGACGCCGCGUGGGGGAUGAAGCAUUUCGGUGUGUAAACCCCUUUCGACUGGGACGAAUGCCUCGCAAGAGGAGUGACGGUACCAGUAUAAGAAGCCCCGGCUAACUACGUGCCAGCAGCCGCGGUAAGACGUAGGGGGCCAGCGUUGUUCGGAAUUACUGGGUGUAAAGGGUUCGUAGGCGGUGCGGCAAGUCGGGAGUGAAAUCUCUGGGCUCAACCCAGAGGCUGCUUCCGAAACUGCUGUGCUUGAGUGUGAGAGAGGCUCGUGGAAUUGCAGGUGUAGCGGUGAAAUGCGUAGAUAUCUGCAGGAACACCCGUGGCGAAAGCGGCGAGCUGGAUCACAACUGACGCUGAGGAACGAAAGCUAGGGGAGCAAACAGGAUUAGAUACCCUGGUAGUCCUAGCCCUAAACGAUCAGGACUUGGGGUGCCGCCCGUUCGGGCGUCGUCCCGGAGCUAACGCGUUAAGUCCUGCACCUGGGGAGUACGGUCGCAAGACUGAAACUCAAAGGAAUUGACGGGGCCCGCACAAGCGGUGGAACAUGUGGUUCAAUUCGACGCUACGCGAGGAACCUUACC
rnacentral:rRNA from 1 species